rnacentral:rRNA from 1 species
ACGUAGGGGGCAAGCGUUGUCCGGAAUUAUUGGGCGUAAAGGGCGCGUAGGCGGAUAGUUAAGUCCGGUGUGAAAGAUCAGGGCUCAACCCUGAGAGUGCAUCGGAAACUGGUUAUCUUGAGGACAGGAGAGGAAAGUGGAAUUCCUAGUGUAGCGGUGAAAUGCGUAGAUAUUAGGAGGAACACCAGUGGCGAAGGCGACUUUCUGGACUGUAACUGACGCUGAGGCGCGAAAGCGUGGGGAGCAAACAGGAUUAGAUACCCUGGUAGUCCACGCUGUAAACGAUGAGUGCUAGGUGUAGAGGGUAUCGACCCCUUCUGUGCCGCAGUUAACACAAUAAGCACUCCGCCUGGGGAGUACGGCCGCAAGGUUG